AGAGUUUGAUCCUGGCUCAGGAUGAACGCUAGCGGCAGGCUUAACACAUGCAAGUCGAGGGGUAGAUUACUUCGGUAAUUGAGACCGGCGCACGGGUGCGUAACGCGUAUACAAUCUACCUUUUACAGAGGGAUAGCCCAGAGAAAUUUGGAUUAAUACCUCAUAGUAUUUUUGAAUGGCAUCAUUUGAUUAUUAAAGUUCCAACGGUAAAAGAUGAGUAUGCGUCCCAUUAGCUAGAUGGUAAGGUAACGGCUUACCAUGGCUACGAUGGGUAGGGGUCCUGAGAGGGAGAUCCCCCACACUGGUACUGAGACACGGACCAGACUCCUACGGGAGGCAGCAGUGAGGAAUAUUGGACAAUGGGCGCAAGCCUGAUCCAGCCAUGCCGCGUGCAGGAAGAAGGUCCUAUGGAUUGUAAACUGCUUUUAUACAGGAAGAAACACCUCUACGUGUAGAGACUUGACGGUACUGUAUGAAUAAGGACCGGCUAACUCCGUGCCAGCAGCCGCGGUAAUACGGAGGGUCCAAGCGUUAUCCGGAAUCAUUGGGUUUGAAGGGUCCGUAGGCGGUUUAAUAAGUCAGUGGUGAAAGCCCAUCGCUCAACGAUGGAACGGCCAUUGAUACUGUUAAACUUGAAUUAUUAGGAAGUAACUAGAAUAUGUAGUGUAGCGGUGAAAUGCUUAGAGAUUACAUGGAAUACCAAUUGCGAAGGCAGGUUACUACUAAUAUAUUGACGCUGAUGGACGAAAGCGUGGGGAGCGAACAGGAUUAGAUACCCUGGUAGUCC
rnacentral:rRNA from 1 species